AUGGAGGCGCGGACCAAAGCUCCCGACGCCAUCGCCGCCGUGGAGGCCAUCCUGGGUUACACCUUCGCGGACAAGGCCCUGGUAGAGGCGGCACUCACGCACGGCUCCUUCAGCAGGUUGCGGGCCGGCGGCGCGGGCGCGACGUACGAGCGGCUCGAGUUCCUGGGCGACCGCGCCAUCAACGUGGUGGUGGCGAGCCACCUGUACAGUGCGCACCCGGCGCUGCGCCCGGGCCCGCUCACCCGCCUCCACAGCCUCAACGUCGACCGCGAGAAGCUCGCUCGCGCCGCCGUCGCGCACGGCCUCCAUCUCUUCCUCCGCCACGCGACGCCCUUCCUCAAGCAGCACGCCAAGGACUUCGCGGCGGAAAUCGCCGCCUACCCGGUCCACUCCAACGGGCAAGUCAGGGCGCCCAAGUGCCUCUCCGACAUCGUCGAGUCGCUCAUCGGUGCCGUGUUCGUCGACUCCGACGGCGACAACGAGCAGAUCUGGCGGGCGUUCAGGCGUCUUGCAGACCCGCUGAUCGGGCCGGAGAUGGUGGGGAAGCAGCCGAUGAUGGAAUUCAACGAGCUAUGCCGGGGCAAGAUGCAGGCCAAGAUCGUGAACAAAGACUGGGCCAAGAGCCACACUGUGAAGGUGGUCAUCGACGGGGAGACGGUGGCGGUCGCGACAUACGGCAAGAACAAGCACGCCGCGCGGAACCGGGCCGUCAAGUCGGCGCUGGACAUUAUCAAAGCUAGGAAGGAGAAGGACUCGAUGGACACACUUACGUCGGCGCCGCAUGAUAAAGACAACAAGUCGGUGGGCGACCAUUGCCCUCCGACGAAUGAGCAGCCGGUGCUUCUGAGGAAGAGGACGGCGAUGACAGAGGCUAGACAAGAGUGGAAGCCGCCAACCUUGGAGGAAUUGCUCAAUCGAGUCUUUAAUUUCACUGGAUAA
rnacentral:rRNA from 1 species